rnacentral:lncRNA from 1 species
GUUUGUUUCUAUGUCUCUCUCCCCUCCCUUUUCUUUCUUGCUUUCUUUUGCAUCGAGGUCCCCCCCCCAUCUCAUUCCUCUCUCCCAUAAGGGAAUUUAUUUUAAACAUAGAAUUCUAUAUCUAAUUAAACUACAAAUGUGAGGGAAGAAUAAGAAAUUUGUCAGACAUGGAAAGGCUCAAAAAAUGCACCUCCCAGGCUCCCUGUCUUAGGAAGUCACAGUCAGUAACCAACGGUUUCGAGUAGCUAGAAACACAGCGGGCCUGGAGAACAAUGGGUCCACAUUGGAGCCAAAAGAUGGAAGUUGCAAGAAGGAGCAGCCCGGGGAGAACAGAAUCCACAAGAUUCGAAACUGGCUUCGAGAAGACGAUUAAAGCACAGAAGAAAGAAGUGAAUCGAAACGUCAGAGAGAAACAAAAAUCCUGACCCUUCAGUCAAUUACCUCUGGGAUCUUUGCUGGCUGGGUAACUUCGUCACUAUAAAAUAAGGGUAACCACAGCCCUUUCUCAGGGGCUGUCGAAGAUGGAAGUUAGUUAAAAAUCGCAGAGCGGUUAAAAAGGGCCCACCGUGAGGAAGGAAGGGGGUGUCAACCGGAUGAAGGAAAAUGAAGCUGGAGGGUUCCCUUGCGUCGUGACGGGGUAAGGAUCCGGCCAUCCGUUUUUCUAAAAAAGAAAAGAAAAAUGACUCUUGGCCCUACUCUUAACAGUAAUACUAACAUUGCUUUAAAAAAAAAAAAAAAGCUAUUUAGAUUCAGCAGUUGGGCAGUGUACACAUUUUCUUACUUAUGGGCACAGAGCAGGAUGGGAGUCUUAUCAACAUCAAAAACAGAAAAGUCAAACCAGAAAUAACAGGAGGUGGGAGGCAGAAUGAGGAAGAGGGCAGAGGGCACACGCGUCUCACAAAACACCAGAUGAGUCCAGAGAUACUGUGUGAAGCAGAAACGAAAGCAGAGGUUGGGAGGGAGCCCUUAAAGCUACGAAGGGAUCAAAGCAGAAACUGGAGUCCUGGUGCUGCGGCCAGAGCAGGAAGGAAGGAGACCCAGAAACGCACGAUCCCCUGCUGCCAGGCAGAGGCCGGAGGUAACAUCUCAGAUCGCUCCUCAAGAAAGAACCGCAGGGCAUAUUAGUGAGCAAUAUGAAGACAAAUCCCAGGAAAAUGAAAAACAGAAACAGCAAUAAUUGAAUUGAAAUGAUUUCCCUCUGUGGAGCAGGAUUGCAACAGCAGAACAGAGGGGCGGGAAGCUGCUGCUUCUGGGUCAUGAAACCCUCUGUGUGAUUUGAAAGUGUUUACUCACGUGCAUGUCCUACCUGGAAGCAACGUGAAAGCUUUUUAAAAAGACAUAUUCAGAAUUUUUCGUGAGACAGUAGUGCAACUAUCCCUGUUCUGGAGUGGUCCCUGGACCUGGCCAUCCCUGGAAUCUUCAAUUGUUUUCAUCUCCUUAAAGAUUACCUUUCUCUGACACUGGGGAGGAGGUUGGGACAUUGAACAAAUAUGUUUAAGUUUGAAGGGGUACAAACUAAGAGCUUUGCUAGGGAGUCUUCAAGCCUUGGUCUCCCCGUUAGCAUUAUAUUUUUCCCCCCUUGGUCAAGAAUUGGCACGUUUGCACCGUAAUUAAAGCUUUCUAAAGCCUCCAGAAGCUUCUGCCAUUGCGACAAUUUCUCACAUACACCUUGGUUUUCUUUCCUGGUCGGGAUGCGCGGAAGCGAGGAGGAAUAGGAGGCCUCCUUGACACUCUCGGGGGUCGCUGGGCUCCGUAACAGAGCGGAGUCUCAGCGUCUGAGUGCGGGGGGGAGGCCAGUGGAAGCGGACACACAGCGAAGACCCCGGGCUCCUGCGGACCAGCGCACGGGGACCAAGGGACACAGGGAGACAACUCUGCCCUCUUCAGCAUGCUGCUCCCAAGUGCCAGGCAAUCCUGUGCCACCGCAGGUUAAAUCACUGCAGUCUCUGCUCCAGUCUGCAGAGAAAUCCCGCCAUUCUGUAGAUGUUGUCUCCCUGGGCGCCCACUCCCUAUUUCAGACAAGGCCAAUCUGCCAUGAGAAAGAGCAAGGAUAAGAAGCAGAAAGAGAGCUGCACCCUACGCAGCCUUAUUUUUUAUUUAUUUAUUUUUUUUUGGAGGUUCCCAGGCUAGAGGUCGAAUCGGAGCUGUAGCCGCUGGCCUACACCACAGUCACAGCCACGCCAGAUCCCAGCCACGUCUGCAACCUACACCAUAGCUCACGGCAAUGCCGGAUGCUUCACCCACUGAGUGAGGCCAGGGAUCGAACCCGAUGAGUUAAGGAUCUUGCAUUGCCAUGAGACGUGGCGUAGGUCACAAAUUCGGAUUGGAUCCUGCAUUGCCGUGGCUGUGGUGGAGGCUGGCAGCUGCAGCUCUGAUUCGACCCCUAGUCUGGGAACUUCCAUAUGCUGCGGAUGCGGCCCGAAAAAGAAAAAGAAAAAAAAGUUAUAGGGAAACAAAUGUCACGACCUCUUCCAUAGCAUCUCCUCAUUAUCAUAAAACCGUGUUCUCAGGGGCAACUUGUAGAAAUGUAAUUUCCAUCAGAUGUAAACGGAGGAGUUGCUGGGCUUGAGCCAGAGGCGGAUGAGGAUGGAAGCACAGAUAUAAAUUCCCACAGGAGCUGGCUUUGUGAUAUUCAGCUUCUGCUCUACCGGGUGCGCCGUAAAUCACUUGGUCCAUAUUCCUUCAUUUCCCUUCGCAGCUAUGUGAGCCCCGGCCCUUCUGCACCACACUUACGGGGCCACCAGCUUCUCCGCACUCGGAGGUCACAAAUGUUUCAGUCUGCAGCUUAAUGAUUUGUACACUUGGAUGACAAAACCAAGCGCCAAGAAACCCAAAUGGCAUCAGUCCCUUUAGGACAGGAUAUGGCUCCUGGAAAACUGCCAUGAUUUCUAACAACCUUUAUAACCAUGGAGCCAGAGGACAAGGAAAGGAAAUUAGGACUCAUUUACAUGUGACCUGAUUUAAAAAACCUGAGUCAUAGAAAUGUUUUGCCCUUAUCCGCAUCUGGAAAUGCUCAAUUUUUCUAUGUAAAUACAUAUCUAAAGGCCAGUUUUCUGAUUAGCAAAAUAUUAUAAUUUCACAAGAAACUCGCCCUCUGUUGGAUGGAAAGGCUAGCUCUAGUUAUUCCAGAUGCUGAUUAGAAAAUUGCAUUGAAUUCACGGCUAUUCAUUUUCUUUUUAAGAAUGGAAAGGAUUUCUAACUCACAGCUUGUUAAAAUUUGAUAUAUAAUUCACAUACUCUUUUAAAAGUACAUUUCAGGGAGUUCCCGUCGUGGCGCAGUGGUUAACGAAUCCGACUAGGAACCAUGAGGUUGCGGGUUCGGUCCCUGCCCUUGCUCAGUGGGUUAACGAUCCGGUGUUGCCGUGAGCUGUGGUGUAGGUUGCAGACGCGGCUCGGAUCCCGCGCUGCUGUGGCUCUGGCACAGGCUGGUGGCCACAGCUCCGAUUGGACCCCUAGCCUGGGAACCUCCAUAUGCCUCGGGAGCGGCCCUAGAAAAGGCAAAAAGACAAAAAAGAAAAAAAAAAA